rnacentral:rRNA from 1 species
AUAGCUUUAGGGCUAGCCUCGAGGUAAAGAGUCAUGGAGGUAGAGCACUGUUUGGACUAGGGGCCCUUCUCGGGUUACCGAAUUCAGAUAAACUCCGAAUGCCAUGUACUUAUACUCGGGAGUCAGACUGCGAGUGAUAAGAUCCGUAGUCGAAAGGGAAACAGCCCAGACCACCAGUUAAGGUCCCCAAAUAUAUGUUAAGUGGAAAAGGAUGUGGGGUUGCUUAGACAACCAGGAUGUUGGCUUAGAAGCAGCCACCAUUGAAAGAGUGCGUAAUAGCUCACUGGUCGAGUGACCCCGCGCCGAAAAUGUACCGGGGCUAAACAUAUUACCGAAACUGUGGAUGAACCUCUUUAGAGGUUCGUGGUAGGAGAGCGUUCUAAGGGCGGUGAAGUCAGACCGGAAGGACUGGUGGAGCGCUUAGAAGUGAGAAUGCCGGUAUGAGUAGCGAAAGAAGGGUGAGAAUCCCUUCCACCGAAUAUCUAAGGUUUCCUGAGGAAGGCUCGUCCGCU